rnacentral:rRNA from 1 species
UGAUGGCUCAGUGAGGCCUUGGGAUUGGCUUAGGAGGGUUGGCAACGACCCCCCAGAGCCGAAAACUUGGUCAAACUCGGUCAUUUAGAGGAAGUAAAAGUCGUAACAAGGUUUCCGUAGGUGAACCUGCGGAAGGAUCAUUACUGAGUGAGGGCCCUCUGGGUCCAACCUCCCACCCGUGUUUAUUUACCUUGUUGCUUCGGCGGGCCCGCCUUAACUGGCCGCCGGGGGGCUUACGCCCCCGGGCCCGCGCCCGCCGAAGACACCCUCGAACUCUGUCUGAAGAUUGUAGUCUGAGUGAAAAUAUAAAUUAUUUAAAACUUUCAACAACGGAUCUCUUGGUUCCGGCAUCGAUGAAGAACGCAGCGAAAUGCGAUACGUAAUGUGAAUUGCAAAUUCAGUGAAUCAUCGAGUCUUUGAACGCACAUUGCGCCCCCUGGUAUUCCGGGGGGCAUGCCUGUCCGAGCGUCAUUGCUGCCCUCAAGCACGGCUUGUGUGUUGGGCCCCGUCCUCCGAUUCCGGGGGACGGGCCCGAAAGGCAGCGGCGGCACCGCGUCCGGUCCUCGAGCGUAUGGGGCUUUGUCACCCGCUCUGUAGGCCCGGCCGGCGCUUGCCGAUCAACCCAAAUUUUUAUCCAGGUUGACCUCGGAUCAGGUAGGGAUACCCGCUGAACUUAAGCAUAUCAAUAAGCGGAGGAAAAGAAACCAACAGGGAUUGCCCCAGUAACGGCGAGUGAAGCGGCAAGAGCUCAAAUUUGAAAGCUGGCUCCUUCGGGGUCCGCAUUGUAAUUUGUAGAGGAUGCUUCGGGAGCGGUCCCCAUCUAAGUGCCCUGGAACGGGACGUCAUAGAGGGUGAGAA